AUCCAGCUAACGAGUCCCAAAUAGGACGAAACGCGCGUCCCGGAU
rnacentral:hammerhead_ribozyme from 1 species